rnacentral:lncRNA from 1 species
GGCGGCAGAACGUGCGGAGAUCUGCCGGCCCUUCUCGUUUUCGGGAGCCGCCGUUCGCCCCCCGUAACCGCGGACCAGGACGGGCGCGCGCGAGAGGCGCCGCCGCAUCUCCUCAGCGAGGGCCGCGCUCAGCCUGCUGCCUCACGCCCAGAGCUGGUUACUGAAAGCAUCCUGCGUGGUCAAACAGUACACUGAGACAGCCUUAUUUUUUUAUGAAAUGAAGUUUAAUUUUGAGACUAAUUUGGAGAGAACCGGGCCUUUUUGUCAUUUCUGGCUGCCUGAAUAGUGUGUACUGCUCCCUUCUAAAUUCACCAGUGAAACACUAAUUGGACUUUGAGUUCAGCAUACACACGUAAGUUAUUUGGAUGUAAGCAAUAACUCUUCCUGAAGCACCUCUCUACGAUGUUCUCAGGGGAACAGCAAGGCACAACCACAAUAUAUCAGUCGGUGCUAUACAAUUAUCUGCAGAAAAUCUGCCUAGUGUACUAAGAAAAUUAAUAGCACCUUUGAGAGCAGUUUGGUGAAGUGUGACCUUUUGCAGGAUAAGUACAAAAGAUGACAACAGUAGCAUUGACCAAACUGGUUUAAGUACCAUUGAGUUUGUAGUGAAGUAUGUUUUGUUAAUCUUAAUGCCUGCACAACCAUCUGCCUGCCCUGUUGUCCCAUCAUUGAUUGUGAAGGAUGGCACUUUGAUUUAUGUUUAUAAUUUUGGAAAUAAGAUGUGCAGUUAAUGUUACAACAAGGUUUGUGGUUUUGAGUACUUUUUAAGAUUUUAACAGGUACCAGCCCACUGAAGGAAUGUUCAGUGUACUGCAGUAGAAUUAGAUGUUCAGCUGUCAUGAACAGUUGAAAAGGUAACAUGUCCUGUUUUUCUGGUGUCUCAUGCCAGCCGGGCAGUGAUGGGGGUACUAAGAUGAAUGGAGAACUUCUGACCCACUCGGUUUUCUUAGGAAGUUACUCUAGUAUAAAAAUGCAUAGCUUUCCCUUUAGUAAUAUGUAUAAAUGUAGGCUUUUAGAUUGUGAGUCUCAUGACCUAGAUAUGUGUUUGCUCAAGCUUAAAUGAACGAGUUAAGGAACAUCUACAGGAAGACAGAUCUCUGCAAAAUCAUAGCAGAGCUUUGUUUUUCACCAACAGUGGCAACUUUGCUGAUGGGUGUAGUUCAUAUUUGACAUGUCAGCGUUAGUUGUUCCACAUUUGCCUAUUGAAGAAAUGCAGCUAUUUUGACUUGCACUUUACUUAAAACAUUCCAUUAAAAAGGGUGGAAAAUAGAAGGCAAAGGAGUGUUCAUAUCAUCAUAACAUUAACCAGUGAUAGUAUUAAACUAAGAAAGUAAGAAAAUAAAUGAUCUAUAUUCUCUGUUUGCUUAGCAGUGUAGCUCAAAAUAUAUAUAUUUCCUCAGCUGCCAUACACCCCAGACACUUGGGUAGGGAUGGUACAAAUGAAGCAAGGCAGUCAUGUGGAUGAUCAGGGAGGUCAGUGUUGGCUAAGUGGUUACCCCUGUAAAUCUCAUUUCUUGUAAAUCUCUCAUGUAUCUCGUAAGCCAUCAUACUACUUCUGUUUUAUUGUAUGCUUUUAGCUUGAUGAUGGUUGAUUUUUACUUGAAUUACAUGAUGCAGACUUUUGUUCUGUCAGUAUUCAGAGGCACAGCCUUUUAUCCUGGGUUACAAGUCUCUUGAGAGUCCUUGUAAAAUGCUUUUUAAGAUAAUUACACUUCCUCUUCUGUUUCUUUGUACAGCAGCUGAAGGGGUAUUCUUAAUGCCAGUGCCACCUUCCCAGUCUAGCACAGCUGGGCACUCAGUUGCCAUUUAGCCUUUCAGGGAAUGUGCUGUGGAAUUUGUGUAUUUGUUACUUGACACCAGGAGGGAAAAGCAUUUCAAAUGCAUUUCCAGCAGGAGAGUGGGUAUGUUUUGACAUUGACUUUGUUCAUGUUAAUUUGGAGGCGUUUCAAGGGGACUUAACAACUAUAUUUGUUUUUGUUUGACUUGUUGCCUUGUGACUUGCUAUCCAUCAUUACCUUUAUGUUUUCCGGCUUAUUUUCUAUCAAAUCACUAAAUCAGUAGAAAAACAUUUUAUGAACUUGUUUCAAGGAAGAAGCUUUUGGGAAAGAUGAAGUAGCAUUUGCUGAAAAUUAAGUUUAGGCUGUGCAAAUGGAAGCAUGGGUGCUUGCUGCAAGUUUUAUCCUCCCAAGUUAGUGACUUGCUGGUCUCUUGGUGAUCCAAAUGAGACCAAAUGAGGGUGAUUAUCCUUUGAUCACUUGGUGCUCCUGUUCCUCUGCUGAAGAUGACCAGUGCAUUGGGUUCUCUGGCAAGUUAUGUUAGAUAAUCACUCCAUAACCCAGUUCUGUCAAAACUAAGGAAAUGAUUCUUCUUAAAUAUGAUGGCCAACACAGGGGGAAAAAAAAAAAAAGUGUCAGAAUUGGGUGAAUGUGAUUGUGCAAACAGAAAUGUUGGCAGCUGUUAACUUCUGGAGCUGGAACGUAGCGGGCUGUCAUAGCAGUUAGCCAGUGCUGAACUGCAGCUGGAAUGGCAGGCAUCCCCACAGCCUGAUGUUACUGUUCUCUGAACAACUUUAACAUUGCCUCAACUGUCGGUCUUUUGUUUAGCAAUAUAUUUGUUGUUACGCUUGAAAUAGGUUUGCUUGUUGUCAUGGCCUAUUGAAGCUAUCUCUGUGGGCACAAGGACACCUGCUUAUCACGAUUCAGCCACUAGUUAUACUCCUGUUUGUCAGGAUUUCCCAGAGCACGGGCUCUGUAAGGACUCAGCUCCAGGCCUUGAUGUUCACACUCCAAAUACAUACUGUUAGUAUUGGGUUCUCUCACUGAGUUCGGAGCUCGUAUUACCUCUCCCAGUCCUGUCAGGUCCAUAACUUAAUAUUUCUAUCUCUAGCCUUGCAAGCACAGAUCAGUCGUGGUUCGGUUUAGAUAUUACCUGUUCCAUUGCUUACAGGGUAUUAGAUGUAAUAUAAGGCAAAACAUUUCUUCCUAAAUCAUUUGAUUACGAGGAAUCCUUUCGGGUUUUUUUGGUGCACCAUUCCAGAAAAUAGUAUUGGGGAGGAAAAAGAGAGUCCAUUACCUGCACAGAGCAAUAUUUAAAUGUGGUGUGAAUCAGUGUACAAAAGAUAAAGGGAAUAUGGAGGGUUUGUUUUGGUUUGGUUUUUGAGAAAAAGCGGCUCUCCUGUCUGAGCUGUUACCCAGAAGAUGGAAACUGUCUCAGCUCCUGCUGAAAACCAGGUGGAAUGUUUAGAGCUUGAGGGUAAUCUGAAGGUGACAGAAGAAAACCUGUUUCUGAUUUAUUUUAUUUUAUUUUUUUUAGAACACGGUGCUGGAAGAAGCUAGUAGCUCAUGGGUCCCUUCAUAACUCUUUUCAGAACAAAGUGUCUUUUGGGAUGUCUGAAAACAGCAUUGAGUUUGAAGGAGACCAGACUGUCAGUGCAUUUUGGUCCUUCCUUCCUUAAGGAGUAAUAUUUGAACACGAUAUCAGCUCAAGACUUAAGAAGCAAUGUAGGUGGCUUGCGAGUCUCACCUUUGGGUGCAAUAGAAGAAGCAGAGGAGAGAGGAGCGUUUGUAGCUCUUGUGAACUUCUGUUCACUGAUGUCAGCUUAUAUAUCUUACUUUUUUAAAGAAGGGUAGCAAAUAGGAGAGGAGAGUCCAGAGAGAGCUGCAGUAAAUUCCCCUGCAGACAGAGGAGGGAGCAGGAGCUGUAGCACCAUACUGCUCCAGAAGCCCACAGCCAGGUUGUACAGAAGGCCUGGGAGUUAGGAUUGCUUUCUGAGCAACUUGCUCAGGCUGUUUUUCAUGCUCAUGUGGCUUUUUUUACAUCUGUUACUGUGCCAGUUUCUUUUGAGUGCAUAUAU